rnacentral:rRNA from 1 species
GCAUAUCAAUAAGCGGAGGAAAAGAAACCAACCGGGAUUGCCUUAGUAACGGCGAGUGAAGCGGCAAAAGCUCAAAUUUGAAACCCUCGGGAUUGUAAUUUGAAGAUUUGGCAUUGGAGAAAGCUAACCCAAGUUGCUUGGAAUAGUACGUCAUAGAGGGUGACAACCCCGUCUGGCUAACCGUUCUCCAUGUAUUGCCUUAUCAAAGAGUCGAGUUGUUUGGGAAUGCAGCUCAAAGUGGGUGGUAAACUCCAUCUAAAGCUAAAUACUGGUGAGAGACCGAUAGCGAACAAGUACUGUGAAGGAAAGGUGAAAAGAACUUUGAAAAGAGAGUGAAAUAGUAUGUGAAAUUGUUGAUAGGGAAGGAAAUGAGUGGAGAGUGGCCGAGGUUUCAGCCGCCCCUCGUGGGCGGUGUACUGCCGACGCCGAGUCAUCGAUAGCGAGACGAGGGUUACAAAUGGGAGCGCCUUCGGGCGUUCUCCCCUAACCCUCCACACUGCCACCGACGACAUAAUCCACCCAUUUCACCCGUCUUGAAACACGGACC